rnacentral:sRNA from 1 species
UGAUUCGCCUUUGCCAGUCUCAUCUCGUGUCUGCUUUGUUAAGUUCCAUGAUCCAGACUCAGCAAUUGUGGCACAGCAUCUGACAAACACUGUAUUCGUUGACAGAGCUUUGAUAGUCGUACCAUAUGCAGAAGUUCUUUUCCCUGGUUCAGCCUGAACUAUAUACCAGGCCCUGCUGAAAAUACCACCCAACAGUUUUCUUCUGCAGCUUAUCCAGUUUCUCUUAAGUGCCCUGUACAUAUUGAGUUAUUCCUGAUGAAGCUAAGGCUUUGUCUCUGUUGGCACCAGCUAAUGCAGUGGCAGGUCUUCUGCCUGGUGGUGGACUCCUGCCUACUCCUAACCCACUUACCCAGAUUGGCGCUGUUCCACUGGCUGCUUUGGGGGCUCCU